AAGUUUGAAGCGAAAAUCACGCAAUUAGUUUCGACCUAAAGCUUGGUGUAAUUACACACCCAAACUUA
rnacentral:tRNA from 1 species